rfam:Microdochium bolleyi strain J235TASD1 unplaced genomic scaffold Micbo1qcscaffold_8, whole genome shotgun sequence.
CCCUUGGUGGUGUAGGUGGUUAUCGCGUCAGACUGUAAUUGUCAUUGUAUACAAUAUUGGUAUCUGAAUGUCACCGGUUCGACCCCGGUCCGAGGGA